UGGGUGUUGUGGAGUAGUUGUUGAUUUGACAUUACAACAGUUGACACAUUGGUACGUGUGAAUUGAUGGCAUUUUGUUUAUAUAUGUAGAGGAGAAAGUAAUGGCUGGAGAGCCUGAAAGUAAGAUUCCUGCCUGCUUUACCCUAGCUGCUUCUGUUUCUCCUGAACAAUAUAAAUACAAGCAUGGAAUUCACAAGCUACUAAGCUAACCCUAUGGUGUCAAGGAUUCUGUAUUUCUAUGUAAAGUCAAAUCAGUCAAACUCACUGUCCAUCAUCAUCAUCAUCUCCCUGCAAUCUUCAUCAUCACCUUUACAUGUUUGUCGUACUCUAUAGAUCCCUACAUAGAAAACAGAACACUGAGAUACUGAAUAAUGAUAGGGCUGAAAGAUAGAAAAAUGAAAAGAGCAACAGUAAUAUACCAAUGGUCAAAGAACAUAGAUUUUCGGACCGAACGGGCGGAAGAACUCACUCCAUUAGCAGAGAAGACAGUCAGGAACAUCGGUCGGGUGAUUCUGUGUUUUCGCUGUCCUCUUUUUUUUUUCUCGAGCUAUGGCUACACGUUCUGUUUUAUCCUGAUCGAUGUAUGUCUUGUUCGCCACAAAACCCCCGAGGCUGCAGCUGCAACUGUAAAAUUCAGUAUCUGUAUGACGGAAACCACAAGGUACCUUGACUAAACUACACAUGCCAAGCACCCUAAGAAAUGGAGAUACUUUCUCGACAUAAAUGAUCUCCUAAAACCUAAAGGAGAGAUUAGGCUUUGGUUUUCAAAGUUCAAGUUUCCUUCACAAUGUAUCUAUCGGAGGUUAAGAAUACCGUAGGGGCUUGUUUUGUUUAACUGGUAAUUCGUAGGAUGUACUAGCAAACAUAUCUCAUGUUUUAUGUUUCCCUUUCCUAUCCAAACUUCGGUUCUUUUGCUUUCUUGUUAAACUGAAUACAGAGGAGCAUAUGAUUGUGGCAUUUGAGCUUGUUACAAUCUUCACGGAGAAAUUGAUAUGCAUGAACCAGAAACGGAAUGUUACGGUGGCAUCACAGUAAAAUAUAGAGCAAUUAGGUACCUCUUGACAGAUUGCACAAAUCACCACCUAGCUAGCAUCACUGCAUCAGAGUCAGUUCCUUUUACGAUAAUCUAAAAG
rnacentral:lncRNA from 1 species